AACGUGUGUUGAAUAAGUCAUACUGUCCGUCAGAAAUUUCUGGCUCUCAAUCUCCAGCCUUACAUCAACUGGUUUGCCUUUAUGUUUGCCCUGGUUGGAAUGUAAUGUCAACAGCGUACUUGAUCUCAUCGAGCGCAACGAUGCAAUUAUCACUGAUUACAACCAGAUACGUGCAUUGCGUUAUGGUAAACCACCUCGACCCACCUUACGUCAUGUAUUUGCCUAUGAUUUUAAGGAGAAAGUGCCAUUGGCAAGUUUUUUUGUCAAAGAAUCAAUUCACAAUUGUAACGUAUCAUCCAUUUGCACCACCAUAUUCAAUUAAUUCUUAUGAAAGCUGUGCUACAAAUCAACAAUCAAUAUGCUACAUGGACAAGUACCUGCUGCUAGAUCUAACAAUGCUGAACCACCAACAUCGCCACGAACCUAAUAUAAAGCCGACCCAAUUGAUAGACAACCACUAUUUAUAGCAUUUAAGGUUGGUGAAGAUGGUGCAGCUGGUACUGCUGAGACUGGGACUUCAUAUCAUAAUCUUACGUAAUCCUCGCAUAAUAUUGUGGAUGCAAUGCGUGACUUUUUACAUAAUUUCCGUAUAACUUGCUCGUUGGUCAGAAUGAUGAUAAUGACAGUUUUGAAGAAGACACCAUGUCUACU